AUGAUGACAUUAAGAAACCAGCAAAUAAAAUGGCAGUUGUGUGGCCACCCUCAGCGAUUCCCCAAAAAGUCAUUUAAUGUGGAGGGUGAAAUAAAGGUAGUAAAACCUGUCUGGCCCCCUCAAGUAGAAUCAGACCUUUCGGGUAAAGAGAAUAAUGAACCAGCAGUAAAUAAGAGGCAAACUCCAAUUACCAGUGGAAACUCUGCAGAAAACGUCCCUAAAGAAAUUGGUGGAGAGCUUAUGUCACCCAUAAAUAUGCCAGACAAAUCAUCUACAGAUGCUAAAAUAACUCAAGAGACAGAGGAGCCAACACCAAAACCUGAAACUGCUGAGGGGGGAGAGGAUGCCAGUGAAACAGGCAAAGCCACUGAGCCCUCCAAUGAAAGCCAGCAGACCACAGAGCAGAGAAAUAAUGAGACAACUCAAGCAACUGAGACAAAAGAAGGAAGUGAGAUAAAUGGUCAAAAAGUUGAGGAGGAGUUGGAGAAUGGAGUCAUAGAAGGAUCUAAGAAUGAAGAAGAAAGUGACAAUGCAAACAUAUAUGAAAAUGGUACUAAGGAAAGUGAAAAGAAAGUGCAAAGUGAAAUAAAUGAGGGAGAAGAGGUAAAAGUGACAGCGAUAGAUGGUGAAAUACCAAAUGUCCAAACAGCCAAUGGUAAUGCAAACAACAACAAUAAUAACAACAACAGCAACCUAAUAUUGGACAACAAGGCCAGUUUGGCAGGAAUUGAUGAAAUUAAAGAAGAACCAGAGCUGCUGGACUUCUCCUCAGGGUCACUUCCUGCCCAGGAACCAUUUAAAGAAGAGAUCAACAGUGAGAUGAUGGCUUCUGACAUAUUCCAACAGCUCCAAGAUGACAGCUCUGUCUCAUCACGUGCCAAAUACUCACAUGACAUAAAAGAGGCAGAACAAGAACACCCCAAAACCAAAACACUGGUUUGCACUGAGACAGAUGACAACCCAAAGUUUAGUGCCUCACGUUUCUUAGAUGACAUAUUUGCAGGUUUUGAUGACAGUUCUAGUUUGUUUCCUGAAUUUAAGGAUGACAUCCGUAGCAAGGAAUCAGCUUCAUCUCAGCUGGAUGACCUUCUGGAUUUUGGAAUAGAAUCAAAAGGGGAAACGGGCCAACACACUGAGGCGGAAAUGAGGAAGAAUCCGCUCGAUAAAAAUGACACCAAAGAUGCUGGGCUGCUGAGUGAAGCCAGCAGCCUCUGGCAGGAUGAAAAUGACUUCUUGUCCGUAGAGGAUCAAAUUAAACAGAACCGAUAUUAUGAUGAUGAUGACUGA
rnacentral:lncRNA from 1 species